UUUCCUCUCUUUUGUCCUAAAGGGCCUUGAGAUGAUAUGUGUUUUGAAUUACUGCUAUAUGAAUAAACUUAAUUAAAUUAAAUGUGUUCUAGUGGAUCCUGUUGCACCAUCAUGCUCAGAAGGCGAUUAUCUGCCCAGAUUUCUGCCUCCAACUCCAGAACAUGGAGCUCGAUUCUACUGUAACGUCAAUCAGCCUCUGGAGAUCAAAAUCAGCGGAAUCGCAAAUAAGGCUGAGACCUUGGAGCUUCUGUUCAGCGGACCUCACAAUGUGGUCAAAACUUCUUCAGGAUCAGGAAACUUCUAUCUGAAAUGGAAACCAUCUAUAAUUGAUGAAGGACCUGGCCAUCCCAUCUGUUUUGUUAUUCAGAGUUCACUUUUAUAUUCUGUGUAUCAGUCUGAACUUCGAUGUGUCGUUGUGACAGUUAAGCGUGAUCCUGUUGUUCUAAAACUGACCAUAUGGACUACACUGUCACUGGAGGAAAACAAGGACAACAUUUUAAAAACGGUGAGAGAAGAACUUGUCAAACUAGGCUUGCCAGCACAUGUCCCGGUGCGGCUGAAGGGGGACGAUCAAGCCGAAGAAAGUGGCAGUGCUUCCCCCUAGUGGCUAAAUUUGAGAAUGAGCGUGAAACCUGCUGGGAAACUUGACUGGGAUUAUCUGUUUGUUUUUUUUCAGUUUCAUAUGAACAGAUGGUUUGUCUUUUUGUUUAUUAUAAUUCUACAUUUUCCUGAUAUUUAAUACACAGUUCUCUAUUGUGUAAAAUACAAAGAUAUUGCAAAAUAUUGAUAUAUUCACAUGCAUCAAUAUCAAUUACUCAUCAUAACGAAGUAAAUGAGUUGAAGAAAAAUGUUUUUCACCAGAGCUAUUUAUUAAGGAAUGUAUUUACCAAGGGUUAUUGUUAGCCACUUUCCAUCUGAAUAUUUUUCAUUUAUGCUUCUGAGGCUUUUAGUGAUCUUCACAUCUGAUCUUUUUCUACACCUGCUGAUUAUAGAGCUAUAAACAGCAUAUAUUUUUUGUAUAAAUUAUUCAUUAUGUCAGCAAAUUCAGGUCCCAAUGGCUCCUUUUGUGAUCUGGAACACAAAUUAGAAAUUAAGGCAUUGUCGAAGGUUUAUAGAGAUGUCUGGAUUCCUUAAUUUCUCUGCAUUUAGGAUGUCAUUUAGGAUGACCUUUAGGAUGUCAUUUAGGAUGACAUUUUCAUCUGCUGAUCAUAGUCCCAGAAUUCAAUCAUCCCAUAAAUGUGUUUAAUGGUAGGUAUACAAAAUCCAGAACAUUGUUAUAAAGACUGUUUCUACUAAUUGGAGCCAGAAUUUACAGUCAUUGCGUAUUACAAACACAAAGAGUGAGCAUGAACGCACCACUUUCUGGCCCUGGAUGAGAUAAACGUAUUGCUAUCAUCUGUAAACAUGUAGGUAUGGACUUAAAGUGUAAACAAAUGAAUGAUGUAAAUAAAGAUUAUUAUAAAUGAAUCAUACAGGCAACAUCAAGUGUUGGGAGUGGAAGUUAAAUCUAUACGUUUGCCUUGAGCUGAUGUCCUUGUUUAAGUAUUUAAUUUAGAAAUAACACAGAACAUCAUGCAGCCAAGAAGCUUUAUGGAGUCUCGGUUUCUGGGUUUUGAGUAAUCCUGCUAACUGUAGCGACUAUGCAGUUAUAUUUACCU